GCAAUUGCUUUUUGGUAGGGAAUUAAAAACAUUAGAAAGGUACACGAGCCCUAUGGAGUAGAAGGUACUGGGCAGUAUGGAUGGGAGGGAAAGCUACUCUGGAAAGAGGAAAAGUCCCAGGACUGAGGAGCAGAAGCAGAAAGCCUGGAUAGUUGCCAGUUUGGGCGGGGAAGGAAGUGGCAGAAGGGGGAGCAAGGCCAGAGGGGAGCCUGGAAAGACCAGGAAUGACUUGCAUUCUUGUGAUCACGAAGAUUCAGAGCACGCUCGGCAGUCGUUGGGAUCUGCUGCUUCUCUGCACAUCAGCACCAGCAUCGAGUGGUCAGGAUUCUCUGCACACCCACGUUCAAGAUGUGUUACAAAGAGCAUUUGUGCCCAGCCUCCUAAUAGCUCACCGCCCCCAGCAUCUCAACCACCUGUCCUCACUUUCCGAGAAUCAGCCUCCCCAUCUGUGAAUCUAGUUACAUCACGGCCGCCAGGCUCCUUGGUGAUGCUGUGUCCUCUGUGCCACUUCGUGGUCUAAAGAUGGAGCCCCAAGGAGCCAAGAAAGUCAAGGGCAUCCCUGUGAAUUUGGCAACAGAACAAAGAGAUGUAAGUUUAUACUCUUUCUUUCUGGGAGCAGCAGAUAACAGCCCCUUCCUGCUCUGGGGACUGGGAACAGAGCGAGAUAAGAGAUAAGCCCUGAAAUCAACACCCAGAGUGGGGCCUAGGUGAGGUGGGAGGGGCCUGACAGACUUGGAGACCUCCCCCAGGUCCACAUGGCCUUUCUGAGUUUCCCUGUGACUGGCCCACAUCCUAAAACUAAAUUCGCCUUGUUUACCAAAGCUGGUCAGUUCUGUCAUCUGAAAGUCAGUACAAUAGUUAAUAUCUUUACAUUGUCUUUAAUAACUCGUCAUUUCCUUUUCUGAAAAGAAGCACAUACCCUUGGGCUUCCCAGGGGGCGCUAGUGGUGAAGAACCCACCUGCCAAUGCAGGAGACACAGAAGACAGGGGUUUGAUCCCUGGAUCGGGAAGAUCCCCUGGAGGAGGGCGUGGCAACACUCUCCAGUAUUCUUGCCUGGAGAAUCCCACAGACAGAGGAGCCUGGCGGGCCACGGUCCGUGAGGUUGCAGAGUCAGACACAACUGAAGCAACUUAGCACACAGGCAGGCACGCACACUUGCUUAGGAAACUUUUCCAAGGACCUGAGACUGUCCUUAUUUACAUGUG
rnacentral:lncRNA from 1 species